rnacentral:pre_miRNA from 1 species
GGGGAGAGUGCCGGAUCCUGGGGUGUGUCCCCCAGUGCCCUGGGUUCCAGGGCCUGCACCAUUGGAAUUGUGCUCCCGGGGCCACACAGCCCCCU